rnacentral:tRNA from 1 species
AGCAGUGUAGCCCAGUGAACAGAGCACGGGCCUGGAAGUCAGAAGACCUGGGUUCUAAUCCCAGCACUGCCC